AAGCUGGAAUCGCUAGUAAUCGCGAAUCAGAAUGUCGCGGUGAAUACGUUCCCGGGUCUUGUACACACCGCCCGUCACACCAUGGGAGUCGGAAAUGCCCGAAGUCAGUGACCUAACCGAAAGGGAGGAGCUGCCGGAAGGUGGAGCCGGUAACUGGGGUGAAGUCGUAACAAGGUACC
rnacentral:rRNA from 1 species